rnacentral:rRNA from 1 species
CCUACGGGAGGCAGCAGUGGGGAAUAUUGGACAAUGGGCGAAAGCCUGAUCCAGCAAUGCCGCGUGAGUGAUGAAGGCCUUAGGGUUGUAAAGCUCUUUUACCCGGGAUGAUAAUGACAGUACCGGGAGAAUAAGCUCCGGCUAACUCCGUGCCAGCAGCCGCGGUAAUACGGAGGGAGCUAGCGUUGUUCGGAAUUACUGGGCGUAAAGCGUACGUAGGCGGUUAUUCAAGUCAGAGGUGAAAGCCUGGAGCUCAACUCCAGAACUGCCUUUGAAACUAGGUAGCUAGAAUCUUGGAGAGGUUAGUGGAAUUCCGAGUGUAGAGGUGAAAUUCGUAGAUAUUCGGAAGAACACCAGUGGCGAAGGCGACUAACUGGACAAGUAUUGACGCUGAGGUACGAAAGCGUGGGGAGCAAACAGGAUUAGAUACCCUGGUAGUCCACGCCGUAAACGAUGAUAACUAGCUGUUCGGGCUCUACGAGCUUGAGUGGCGCAGCUAACGCAUUAAGUUAUCCGCCUGGGGAGUACGGUCGCAAGAUUAAAACUCAAAAGGAUUAGCGGCGNGNGAGNGCGACGACGACGACGACGGAGGAG